rnacentral:rRNA from 1 species
GAUGAACGCUGGCGGCGUGCCUAAUACAUGCAAGUCGAGCGAACAGACGAGGAGCUUGCUCCUCUGACGUUAGCGGCGGACGGGUGAGUAACACGUGGAUAACCUACCUAUAAGACUGGGAUAACUUCGGGAAACCGGAGCUAAUACCGGAUAAUAUAUUGAACCGCAUGGUUCAAUAGUGAAAGACGGUUUUGCUGUCACUUAUAGAUGGAUCCGCGCCGGAUUAGCUAGUUGGUAAGGUAACGGCUUACCAAGGCAACGAUGCGUAGCCGACCUGAGAGGGUGAUCAGCCACACUGGAACUGAGACACGGUCCAGACUCCUACGGGAGGCAGCAGUGGGGAAUCUUGCACAAUGGGCGCAAGCCUGACGGAGCCACGCCGCGUGAGUGAAGAAGGUCUUCGGAUCGUAAAACUCUGUUAUUAGGGAAGAACAAAUGUGUAAGUAACUAUGCACGUCUUGACGGUACCGAAUCAGAAAGCAACGGCUAACUACGUG